UGGGGAAUAUUUGGCAAUGGGCGCAAGCCUGACCCAGCAACGCCGCGUGAAGGAAGAAGGCUUUCGGGUUGUAAACUUCUUUUAAGAGGGAAGAGCAGAAGACGGUACCUCUUGAAUAACCCACGGCUAACUACGUGCCAGCAUCCGCGGUAAUACGUAGGUGGCAAGCGUUGUCCGGAUUUACUGGGUGUAAAGGGCGUGCAGCCGGGCUGACAAGUCAGAUGUGAAAUCCCGCGGCUCAACCGCGGAACUGCAUUUGAAACUGUUAGUCUUGAGUACCGGAGAGGUCAUCGGAAUUCCUUGUGUAGCGGUGAAAUGCGUAGAUAUAAGGAAGAACACCAGUGGCGAAGGCGGAUGACUGGACGGCAACUGACGGUGAGGCGCGAAAGCGUGGGGAGCAAACAGG
rnacentral:rRNA from 1 species